rnacentral:rRNA from 1 species
AUACAGAGAGUGCAAGCGUUAAUCGGAAUUACUGGGCGUAAAGCGCGCGUAGGUGGAUACUUCAGUCGGAUGUGAAAGCCCUGGGCUUAACCUGGGAACUGCAUUCGAUACUGGGUGUCUAGAGUAUAGUAGAGGGAAGUGGAAUUUCCGGUGUAGCGGUGAAAUGCGUAGAUAUCGGAAGGAACACCAGUGGCGAAGGCGGCUUCCUGGACUAAUACUGACACUGAGGUGCGAAAGCGUGGGGAGCAAACAGGAUUAGAAACCCCAGUAGUCC